rnacentral:rRNA from 1 species
AGGAUCAUUACCGAGGUGUGAUUCGGGCUCCGGCCCGAUCCUCCCACCUUUUCGGUGUACUUAAUCUCUGUUGGUUUGGCGGGUCGCGGUCUUCUGCGGCCGCCUUUUUUCCUCGGGGGGGUGGCCAGCGCUCGCCAGAGGACCAUCAAACUCCAGUCAGUAAACGAUGCAGUCUGAAAAACAUUUAAUAAACUAAAACUUUUAACAAACGGAUCUCUUGGUUCUGGCAUCGAUGAAGAACGCAGCGAAAUGCGAUAAGUAAUGUGAAUUGCAGAAUUCAGUGAAUCAUCGAAUCUUUGAACGCACAUUGCGCCCUUUGGUAUUCCGAAGGGCAUGCCUGUUCGAGCGUCAUUACAACCCUCAAGCUCUGCUUGGUAUUGGGCACCGUCCUUUGCGGGCGCGCCUCAAAGACCUCGGCGGUGGCGUCUUGCCUCAAGCGUAGUAGAACAUACAUCUCGCUUCGGAGCGCAGGGCGUCGCCCGCCGGACGAACCUUUCUGAACUUUUUCUCAAGGUUGACCUCGGAUCAGGUAGGGAUACCCGCUGUAACUUAA